rnacentral:rRNA from 1 species
CCUACGGGAGGCAGCAGUGAGGAAUAUUGGUCAAUGGGCGGAAGCCUGAACCAGCCAAGUAGCGUGCAGGAUGACGGCCCUACGGGUUGUAAACUUCUUUUAUACGGGAAUAACGCGCCUUACGUGUAGGGCUUUGCAUGUACCGUAUGAAUAAGGACCGGCUAAUUCCGUGCCAGCAGCCGCGGUAAUACGGAAGGUCCGGGCGUUAUCCGGAUUUAUUGGGUUUAAAGGGAGCGUAGGCGGCAUGUCAAGCGUGCUGGGAAAUGUGCGGGCUCAACCCGGGCCGUGCAGGGCGAACUGGCGUGCUUGAGUGCGCGGGAAGCAGGCGGAAUGCGUGGUGUAGCGGUGAAAUGCUUAGAUAUGACGAAGAACCCCGAUUGCGAAGGCAGCUUGCUGCAGCGGAACUGACGCUGAUGCUCGAAAGCGCGGGUAUCGAACAGGAUUAGAUACCCUUGUAGUC